UGGGGAAUAUUGGGCAAUGGGCGAAAGCCUGACCCAGCGACGCCGCGUGAAGGAAGACGGUCUUCGGAUUGUAAACUUCUUUUAUAUGGGACGAAACAAAUGACGGUACCAUAUGAAUAAGCCACGGCUAACUACGUGCCAGCAGCCGCGGUAAUACGUAGGUGGCGAGCGUUAUCCGGAUUUACUGGGUGUAAAGGGUGUGUAGGCGGGACUGCAAGUCAGAUGUGAAAAUCACGGGCUUAACCUGUGACCUGCAUUUGAAACUGUGGUUCUUGAGGGUCGGAGAGGUAACUGGAAUUCCUGGUGUAGCGGUGAAAUGCGUAGAUAUCAGGAGGAACACCGGUGGCGAAGGCGGGUUACUGGACGAUUACUGACGCUGAGACACGAAAGCGUGGGGAGCAAACAGG
rnacentral:rRNA from 2 species